rnacentral:rRNA from 1 species
GACAGAGGUGCCGAGCGUUAGGCGGAAUCACUGGGCUUAAAGCGUGUGUAGGCGGACCGUUAAGUGUCUUGUGAAAUCCCACGGCUCACCCGUGGAACGGCUGGGCAGACUGGCGGUCUUGAGAGGCCUAGGGGCAGACGGAACAAGCGGUGGAGCGGUGAAAUGCGUAGAUAUCGCUUGGAACGCCAACGGUGAAAACAGGUUGCUGGGGGUGUGCUGACGCUGAGACACGAAAGCCAGGGGAGCGAACGGG